AAUAGCUCAGUAACACGUGGCCAAACUACCCUUCGGAACACAAUACCCUCGGGAAACUGAGGCUAAUAGUGUAUACCGCAUCACACCUGGAAUGAGUGAUGCGCCAAACGCUCCGGCGCCGAAGGAUGUGGCUGCGGCCGAUUAGGUAGACGGUGGGGUAACGGCCCACCGUGCCAAUAAUCGGUACGGGUCAUGAGAGUGAGAACCCGGAGACGGAAUCUGAGACAAGAUUCCGGGCCCUACGGGGCGCAGCAGGCGCGAAACCUUUACACUGCACGACAGUGCGAUAAGGGAAUCCCAAGUGCGUAGGCAUAGAGCCUACGCUUUUGUCCACCGUAGGGAGGUGGACGAAUAAGGGCUGGGCAAGACCGGUGCCAGCCGCCGCGGUAAUACCGGCAGCCCGAGUGAUGGCCGAUCUUAUUGGGCCUAAAGCGUCCGUAGCUGGCCGCGCAAGUCUAUCGGAAAAUCCACCCGCUCAACGGGUGGGCGUCCGGUAGAAACUGCGUGGCUUGGGACUGGAAGGCGCGACGGGUACGUCCGGGGUAGGAGUGAAAUCCUGUAAUCCUGGACGGACCGCCGAUGGCGAAAGCACGUCGCGAAGACGGAUCCGACAGUGAGGGACGAAAGCUAGGGUCUCGAACCGGAUUAGAUACCCGGGUAGUCCUAGCCGUAAACAAUGCCUGUUAGGUGUGGCUCCCACUACGAGUGGGU
rnacentral:rRNA from 1 species